rnacentral:rRNA from 1 species
CCAGCACCCCGAGUGGUCGGGACGAUUAUUGGGCCUAAAGCAUCCGUAGCCGGUUUUACAAGUCCUCCGUUAAAUCCAACUGCUUAUCAGAUGGGCCGCGGAGGAUACUAUAAGACUAGGAGGCAGGAGAGGCAAGCGGUACUCAGUGGGUAGGGGUAAAAUCCGUUGAUCCAUUGAAGACCACCAGUGGCGAAGGCGGCUUGCCAGAAUGCGCUCGACGGUGAGGGAUGAAAGCUGGGGGAGCAAACCGGAUUAGAUACCCGGGUAGUCCCAGCUGUAAACGAUGCAGACUCGGUGAUGGACCAGCUUCAUGCUAGUCCAGUGCCGCAGGGAAGCCGUUAAGUCUGCCGCCUGGGUAGUACGGUCGCAAGACUG